rnacentral:rRNA from 1 species
AUACGAACUGCGCGAACGUUAUUCGGAAUCACUGGGCUUAAAGAGUCCGUAGGCGGCUCGGUAGGUGGGGUGUGAAAGCCCACGGCUCAACCGUGGAAUAGCGCUCCAAACCAUCGGGCUUGAGGGAGAUAGAGGAGAGUGGAACUGAGGGUGGAGCGGUGAAAUGCGUUGAUAUCAUCAGGAACACCGGUGGCGAAAGCGGCUCUCUGGGUCUCUUCUGACGCUGAGGGACGAAAGCUAGGGGAGCGAACGGGAUUAGAAACCCCGGUAGUCC